CAUUGAAAAAAGAAAAUGAUUCAGAGUAGCAAAUAAAAAUAAAUGUAAAGUACAAUAUAGAGAUUGAUAAAAAGAUAACAGUUUGAUUGUUUUUUAGAAAGAAAAAUAAUGUCAUGAUAAAUAAAAAUUAUACAGAAGUAUGGUAUAGUGGGAUGCGAUUAAAUCCCAAACCUUUUAGAAAAAUCAACUAUUUAAUUUG
rnacentral:lncRNA from 1 species